UACGUAGGGUGCGAGCGUUGUCCGGAAUUAUUGGGCGUAAAGAGCUCGUAGGCGGUCUGUCGCGUCGAUCGUGAAAACUUGGGGCUUAACCCUGAGCUUGCGGUCGAUACGGGCAUGACUGGAGUUCGGCAGGGGAGACUGGAAUUCCUGGUGUAGCGGUGAAAUGCGCAGAUAUCAGGAAGAACACCCGUGGCGAAGGCGGUUCUCUGGGACGGUACUGACGCUGAGGCGCGAAAGCUAGGGGAGCAAACGGG
rnacentral:rRNA from 1 species